rnacentral:rRNA from 1 species
UACGGAGGGUGCAAGCGUUGUUCGGAAUUAUUGGGCGUAAAGGGCAGGUAGGUGGUCUUGAAAGUCUACUGUGAAAUCCCUGAGCUUAACUCAGGAAGUGCGGUGGAUACUCCAAGACUAGAGUGCCGGAAGGGUGCGUAGAAUUCCUGGUGUAGCGGUGAAAUGCGUAGAUAUCAGGAGGAAUACCAGAGGCGAAGGCGGCUCACUGGUCCGGUACUGACGCUGAGGUGCGAAAGCGUGGGGAGCAAACAGG